rnacentral:rRNA from 1 species
GAUGAACGCUGGCGGCGUGCCUAAUACAUGCAAGUCGAGCGAACAGACGAGGAGCUUGCUCCUCUGACGUUAGCGGCGGACGGGUGAGUAACACGUGGAUAACCUACCUAUAAGACUGGGAUAACUUCGGGAAACCGGAGCUAAUACCGGAUAAUAUAUUGAACCGCAUGGUUCAAUAGUGAAAGACGGUUUUGCUGUCACUUAUAGAUGGAUCCGCGCCGCAUUAGCUAGUUGGUAAGGUAACGGCUUACCAAGGCAACGAUGCGUAGCCGACCUGAGAGGGUGAUCGGCCACAAUGGAACUGAGACACGGUCCAGACUCCUACGGGAGGCAGCAGUAGGGAAUCUUCCGCAAUGGGCGAAAGCUUGACGGAGCAACGCCGCGUGAGUGAUGAAGGUCUUCGGAUCGUAAAACUCUGUUAUUAGGGAAGAACAAAUGUGUAAGUAACUAUGCACGUCUUGACGGUACCUAAUCAGAAAGCCACGGCUAACUACGU